UAUACCAUAGAGGUGUUGCACGUUUGGCUAUUGUUAGACAUGUGCAUCAGUACAUGGUAGAGAAGAGUGAGGCUAUAUAUACACUGAGUGUUCUGAUUUGAGAACAUCUGAAUGACUAGCCUAACACU
ensembl:snoRNA LOC120096408 small nucleolar RNA SNORA17